GCAAGUCGAACGGCAGCAUAGGUGCUUGCACCUGAUGGCGAGUGGCGAACGGGUGAGUAAUGCAUCGGAACGUGCCCAGUCGUGGGGGAUAACGCAGCGAAAGCUGUGCUAAUACCGCAUACGAUCUAUGGAUGAAAGCGGGGGACCUUCGGGCCUCGCGCGAUUGGAGCGGCCGAUGUUAGAUUAGGUAGUUGGUGGGGUAAUGGCCUACCAAGCCUACGAUCUAUAGCUGGUCUGAGAGGAUGAUC
rnacentral:rRNA from 1 species